CGCACCUUGCGCUCCUUGGUAUUCCGAGGAGCAUGCCUGUUUGAGUGUCAUGAAAUCAUCAACUUUAAAUGCUUUUGCGAGCGUUUAAGGCUUGGACUUGGAGGUUUUAUUGCUGGCAUCAGUUCAGCUCCUCUUUAAAUGCAUUAGCUUAGACCUAUUUACACUAAACGGUUUUUGAUGUGAUAAAUUAUCUACAUCGCUUUGUGACCUUGUGUAAUUUAGUGACUGGCUUCUAACCGUCCAUUGACUUGGACAUAAAUACAAUAUCUUUUGUAUCAAUCUGACCUCAAAUCAGGUAGGACUACCCGCUGAACUUAA
rnacentral:misc_RNA from 1 species